AGAGUUUGAUCCUGGCUCAGGAUGAACGCUGGCGGCGUGCCUAACACAUGCAAGUCGAGCGAGAAGCUUUUAAAUGACGCUUCGGUAGAUUUUAGAAGUGGAAAGCGGCGGACGGGUGAGUAACGCGUAGGCAACCUGCCCUUUGCAGAGGGAUAGCCUCGGGAAACCGGGAUUAAAACCUCAUAACGCCUUUAAGAGACAUCUUUUAAAGGCCAAAGAUUUAUCGGCAAAGGAUGGGCCUGCGUCUGAUUAGUUAGUUGGUGGGGUAACGGCCUACCAAGGCGACGAUCAGUAGCCGACCUGAGAGGGUGAUCGGCCACAUUGGAACUGAGACACGGUCCAAACUCCUACGGGAGGCAGCAGUGGGGAAUAUUGCACAAUGGGGGAAACCCUGAUGCAGCAACGCCGCGUGAAGGAAGAAGGCCUUUGGGUCGUAAACUUCUGUUCUAAGGGAAGAAAAGGACUGUACCUUAGGAGCAAGUCCCGGCUAACUACGUGCCAGCAGCCGCGGUAAUACGUAGGGGGCAAGCGUUAUCCGGAAUUAUUGGGCGUAAAGAGCACGUAGGUGGCUACCUAAGCACGGGGUUUAAGGCUAUGGCUUAACCAUAGUUCGCCUUGUGAACUGGGCUGCUUGAGUGCAGGAGAGGAAAGCGGAAUUCCUAGUGUAGCGGUGAAAUGCGUAGAUAUUAGGAGGAACACCAGUGGCGAAGGCGGCUUUCUGGACUGUAACUGACACUGAGGUACGAAAGCGUGGGGAGCAAACAGGAUUAGAUACCCUGGUAGUCCACGCCGUAAACGAUGAGCACUAGGUGUCGGGGUCGCAAGACUUCGGUGCCGCAGUUAACGCAAU
rnacentral:rRNA from 1 species